rnacentral:misc_RNA from 1 species
CGCAGAUAGCAGGGGCGGCG